rnacentral:rRNA from 1 species
GAUGAACGCUGGCGGCGUGCCUAAUACAUGCAAGUCGAGCGAACGGACGAGAAGCUUGCUUCUCUGAUGUUAGCGGCGGACGGGUGAGUAACACGUGGAUAACCUACCUAUAAGACUGGGAUAACUUCGGGAAACCGGAGCUAAUACCGGAUAAUAUUUUGAACCGCAUGGUUCAAAAGUGAAAGACGGUCUUGCUGUCACUUAUAGAUAGAUCCGCGCUGCAUUAGCUAGUUGGUAAGGUAACGGCUUACCAAGGCAACGAUGCAUAGCCGACCUGAGAGGGUGAUCGGCCACACUGGAACUGAGACACGGUCCAGACUCCUACGGGAGGCAGCAGUAGGGAAUGUUCCGCAAUGGGCGAAAGCCUGACGGAGCAACGCCGCGUGAGUGAUGAAGGUCUUCGGAUCGUAAAACUCUGUUAUUAGGGAAGAACAGAUGUGUAAGUAACUGUGCACAUCUUGACGGUACCUAAUCAGAAAGCCACGGCUAACUACGUG